rnacentral:rRNA from 1 species
UACAUAGGUGGCGAGCGUUGUCCGGAUUUACUGGGCGUAAAGAGCGCGCAGGCGGUCGUACAAGUCGCGUGUGAAAGCCCCCGGCUCAACUGGGGAGGGUCACGCGAUACUGUUCGACUCGAAGGCAGGAGAGGGUAGUGGAAUUCCCGGUGUAGUGGUGAAAUGCGUAGAUAUCGGGAGGAACACCAGUGGCGAAGGCGACUACCUGGCCUGUACUUGACGCUGAGGCGCGAAAGCUAGGGUAGCAAACGGG